rnacentral:lncRNA from 1 species
GCAACUACUCUAUCAUGCCAUCAAUGAUAAUAAUGCAUGCAACAACUGCUAUCAUGCUAGUAUUAUGUCAUGAGUAUAUAUAAAGUGCAUAGUAAUGUAAACUACAACAUACACUAUGUCUACUCAAGGUAAUAAUGCAAGUCUACUAUGCAUUCCAUGUUUAUUACCCAAUCUACUUAGUUAACCCGUAGGUUAAACCCUCGACUCACUCUCAAUCUCAUAGGUGAGAAGAAGCUGCACUCGCACACCGAGACCGUCUGCGGGACAACUACGUCUGCCCCUAGUAAAGUACUCCGGAGACUCGUGCCACGGUGGAGCGACGACUGACAGCAAAAACAGACCAGUGAGUAUGAUCCAAUCCUCACAAGAGGAUACCCUAUCUACAAGGGUCAACGUGCCUCUGCUGCACAAUAUACAAUGCAUCCUAGAUGCUGGGAUCUCUACUAUCCCUAGAACCAUGUCAUGUUUACUACACUAGACUCGAUGCCACUCGGUUGAUCAUUGUAGUAAUGUUCUGUAACUAAUUGACAUGCCACUCGUUCAAGUUUAGUGUUUCUACUACACUAGUUCAAUGCCACUCUACUAGGCUAUCAUAUGUCCAAGUUCGGCUCUUUAUACCAUUAUAGGAUUCCCAUGUCACAAAACCCAAUCCUCAUGCUACCCUAGUCCA